AAUAAUAUCACAGUAGGUGUAC
rnacentral:miRNA from 1 species